rnacentral:snRNA from 1 species
UUUACACAAGAGCAAAAGG